AAAAUAUAAAAUACCGCUUCGGCACUCUCUAUUUGAUGCUUUUCCCUCUCUCUGUAACGUUUGUUUUGCCUCAUCAAUUACUCCUCUUUCUCUCAAAUCUCUCUUCACCGCUCUAAAACCCACUACUUAAAUCCAACUCUCAAUUUUGAUCUUCAUGCUUAAUAAGUUGUGAACUGGAAUAAAAGAAGAUUAAGAUAUAGUUAAAACUCCAUUCAUUGCCUUCUUCGUGUCUAAAGUUAAUGGACAAGAAACGGCUGAUGCAUGAUUGUCUUUACAAUUUUUAAAUUUUCAUUUAUGCAUGAUUGGAGUUUUAUGUAUAUAUUGUAUUCCGUCUAUUUGUUGAUUUGUUAGUUGUCAGUAGUUUUGAUUAAAACAUAGGACCGGUUUGUUUUUUUACUUUGUUCUCAUUUAUAUCUUAAUUGUAUUAUAACUCUUUUAGUAUCAGUUUUCUUAAUUGAAUGUUUUGAUAUGAUUUUCCUUAGGCUCAUACUAUUUUCAUUGUCUUUUUUUGGGGCAACUUUCUCAUUGCAGAAUUAAUCGAUGGGAACUAUUGAAUGAGGCUGGAGCAAAAUUCAAAUAUAUUGGAAUAUGCAUUUGAAGAAAGAGAGAGACACUCGGAGCUAAUACAUGUACAGAUGGAGAUGGAGAUGGAGACUUGUGGAAAAAUAGAAUUUACCAUAGUAGGAUUUUACUUCCUCUAGUGCGCCAACCACACUCCCUAAGGAUCAUGCAGAUAAGACGGGCUGAAUUCCAUUAAGUGCAAGGGUAAGCACGAGCAACGGAGAAAGAUAAGAAACAUCUUCAGCCACAACUUCUCCUCUAGUAAAUUCAUAGCAAUUGACGUUACACAAUGUGAGAACGAGGAUUGCAGAAACUACCGAGAUGAUGAAAGAGCAUGCUGUGACAACUAUUUCUAAAAAUGUUGCUGAUUUUGGAUGCCCUGCUCCCAAUUCAUUGUUCACUCUCACACUGUCAAUUCAUCAAUGAUUUAACAUUAAAAGUUCGCAGUGCAAUCAACUUUUGAUUGUUUAAACAAAGUUUGGUUGUUUACAUGGAGCCUGCAUGUGCAGUGCAAACUCUUAGCAUAAAUACCAUGUUGUGCAAUGCAGGUCAUUUGUGUAAACAUAAUCCAGUUGUUUAAACAACAUGAAGUUGUUUAUAAACAACUGCAUGUUGUUUAUAAACAACUGCAUAUUGUUUAUAAACAACGUGUAGUUGUUUAUAAACAACGUGUAGUUGUUUAUUAACAAUAUAGAAGAACAGAUGAAAUGUUUAUCCCCUUUGAAGCAAAUUCCCAAACAAUGUAUUAACAAAUUACUAUCAAGAACAGAGAAGUAACACAAAUUAAAAAAUCUUUGGUUUAGUGAUGAAGAAGAAGGCAAAUGCAAAUUUCAUUUUUGUUCAAUGAAGAUAAAUCUAACCCUAGUUUGAAGAGAGCAAGGAGUUUGGAAGGCUGAAAUGUGUUGAGAUUGAAAAAAAAGAAAAAAAGAAGAAGAUAUGGAAGUAGACGAAGAUAAUAUGGAAAGGGUUGUUGCUCCCGCUAAAAAAAACAAGCAGAUUUGCUGGAAAUUGGUUGUUGCCCUUUUGGCUAAAACUCUUAUAUGUUGGGUCUGUUUGUAAAUAGCAAAACUUUGGGGUGUAUAAAAAUAUUUUUUUUAAAAUUAGCAUAACCCAUUAAUCUCUAAUUAUAC